rnacentral:lncRNA from 1 species
GCGGUUUAAAUCGCAAACAUUUAUUUCUCACAGUUCUGGAGGCUGGAACUCCACGACCAAGUCACUGGCAGAUUCAAUGGCUGUUUGCAGGUGGCCGUCUUCUUGUGGGGUCCUCGUGCGACAGAGAGCAGAGACAGAGCCGGUUCUCUGGGCCUCUUCUUAUCAGGCCACUAAUUUCAUCACGGGGCCGCACCCUCAGGACUCAACUACAUUCCACAGGUCCCCUCUCCUAAUGCCAUCACAUUGGGAGUUAAGGCUUCAACAUAUGUAUUUAGGGAGGACGCACACAUUUGGUCCGUAGCGAGAAUUCAGACUCAAGCCCUUGCCUCAGGCUCUAAUGCACCCAAACCCAGCAGCCACGCACCGCACACCCUGGAGAGCGUGCAGGGGACCCCUGGGUGGGUGAGGACAGGUUUUGGGACUCAGGAGCUAGUCCCUGGGUUUGUCUCGUCAGCCUUCGCCCACCCCUUGACCUCGAAUGGGCCUCCUGACCCAGAACAUGGGGAUCGGGGCCUGGGAAGGUUGAGGGAAGCAUUAAAUGAGGUGGCCCUUUGUCAUGUAUCUGGCACCCCAUAGGCGCUCAAAUGGUGCAACGAGGAUGCCACGGCCCUAACCUGCAAACACGUUUCCACGACUUCACGCCGGAGGCAGCCAAAACGCUUCCCGGCUCCCCUUCCCUGGGGCCCAUCCAAGUGGGGGUCUGGCUGUGACCCCUUCUUCACCCCGAACUUCCCCCAUGGCCACCACCUCCCCCUUCCCUCUCCCCAGCCCGCUGGGGUGGGCCGCUGGGAGGAAGCCCAUCUCUGACGUGGACCCCGCAUACAGGGGGUCGUGGGCCUGUCAGAUUGGGUCACCCGAAUCAAGGGUGAUGAUAAAACCUGUCCCUCCAAAUUAGGCCAGAGCCCCCGGAGCCCCGCUGAUUACAGCCUGUGCACCGAGGACAAAGGGUCCCUCUAGGGUCAUUAAUAUGGAUUGAGGCCCAUUGUUUUCUCAAAUUAGGCCACAGGGAGCGCUUCUUGGGGAAGCACAUAGCGGGUGAGGGUUCCUGGGGUCCCGCCCAGGGUCCUGCGAGGCCAGGCUGGAGAGCCAGCAAGGAAGAGGCCAGACCAUUCCCAGGCUGAAGGCUCGGGCUCGGGGGUGAGGCCAGGGCCAGUGGGCUUCCCCAGCUCACCUGCAGAAUGUUCUGGAGAAAUAAAAGGAUCCCUCUGAGUACCUGCUGGGACUGAGUGAGCAUUCUUAACUUACACAGAGGGUCUUGCUGUCUGCAAAGCGUUUUAGAUUCUCAAUGCCUUUCAACCUCCAGCACCUUGGGAAUUCCACUCCAAUUCUUAGUGUGGGAAAGUGAGGCUCCGAAAGGUCCAAAGGCUGUCUCGCUGGUUC